rnacentral:lncRNA from 1 species
CUUCUAAGCAGAUUGAAGCAGCUUCAUCUCAUUCCUGGUUCAUCCUGAUUCCCUCAGUGGCUUGCUCCUGCAUUAGUAAUGUAAAACUGGCCCAAAAGGGUUUAAAAUUGUCAGAAGUUGAUCUUGAUCAGUUCAAAUAUUUUUUGACAAAGAAAAUCAGUUCUGGUCAGUUCAAAUCUAUUUUGACCAGUUUAAACCAAUUCUGCAGAACUCGAGCCUGUGGUCGGUAAACCCAGGAAGAUGGCUGAAGACUAUGCUGAUUCAAGCCAAAGCAAGGAAUCAGCUAUAGAAAAGUUAUUAAAAAGAAAAAAUCAUGAAGAAAAGAAACAGAAAGUAGAUCAUGGAAUCUGUCUGAUCUUCUUUUCCUAUGUAAUCAAGAAAGCCUGGACAGAGAAUUAUUAGUGGAUGGGCCGCAAAGGAGAUUCUUCCAAGAUUUCAGAAGUUGGAAGGGAAGCAGAAUCCAUUUGAUAACACAAACACAUUGUUGCUUAUCUGUUGACUCAACUUGGGAUGAAGAAGCAGUUGAGCCAGUUGUGUGUGUAGAGCUCAAGGACAAAGGUCCUUAGCUUCUGCAGAAUACUAUCAUCACCAAGCUCACAGGCUUCUAGAGCAGACAUGUGCUUCAGUCCAUUCUGUGGGCUUCCAGCUUCUACUCUUGGAGUUCCAUCCUUUUUUAUGAUAUUACCUUUCUAACUGCAUAUGCUGUGGACUUCAAGCACUUGAAUCAGAUGUAGAGACAUUAUAUGGACUGCUUGAGUAGCCCCCACAACUGUGUAAGCCAAAUCCCUGUAACAAGUAUUUAUCCGUCCAUCCAUUCAUCUGUCUGUCUAUCUAUGAAUCUAUUGAUCUAUCUAGCUAUAUUAGUCCAUUCUUGCACUCUAUAAAGCACUACACAAGACUGGAUAAUUUAUAAA